rnacentral:rRNA from 1 species
CCUACGGGUGGCUGCAGUGGGGAAUAUUGGACAAUGGGGGCAACCCUGAUCCAGCCAUGCCGCGUGUGUGAAGAAGGCCCUCGGGUUGUAAAGCACUUUCAGUGAGGAAGAACGCCUGGUGGUUAAUACCCAUCAGGAAAGACAUCACUCACAGAAGAAGCACCGGCUAACUCCGUGCCAGCAGCCGCGGUAAUACGGAGGGUGCGAGCGUUAAUCGGAAUUACUGGGCGUAAAGCGCGCGUAGGUGGCUUGAUAAGCCGGUUGUGAAAGCCCCGGGCUCAACCUGGGAACGGCAUCCGGAACUGUCAAGCUAGAGUGCAGGAGAGGAAGGUGGAAUUCCCGGUGUAGCGGUGAAAUGCAUAGAGAUCGGGAGGAAUACCAGUGGCGAAGGCGGCCUUCUGGACUGACACUGACACUGAGGUGCGAAAGCGUGGGUAGCAAACAGGAUUAGAUACCCUUGUAGUC